rnacentral:lncRNA from 1 species
UCUCAAUUUAUUUAUGCACUUAAAAAGCUGGACAUGUAGAUCACAAAACCUUAACAUACACAUUGCGCUAGGCACACAUCAUUAUAAUUACAGGAUCUGAACAUCAAUGACCUUGCGCUCCACAUGGGUCUUAGGAAUUGAAAUGUAAAGAACACCAUUCUUCAGCUCUGCAUCUCAAUUUAUUUAUACACUUACAAAGCUGGACAUGUAGAUCACAAAACCUCAACAUACACAUUUCGCCAGGCACUCAUUAUUAUAAUUACAGAAUCUGAACAUCAAUGACCUUGCGCUCCACCUUUGUCUUAGGAAUUGAAAUGUAAAGAACACCAUUCUUGAGCUCUGCCUUGACCUUAUCUUUCUCACAGUUAUCAGGAAGCUGGAGACGAGUAUCG